rnacentral:tRNA from 1 species
AACUUGGUGCGAGGAACUCGUAUGUCAUGUUUGUAUUGUGUGCGCGUUUGUUUGAAAGUUCGACAACGGGACGU